rnacentral:misc_RNA from 1 species
AUAAAAAGAAACAAGGAAAAAGAAAAAUCUUACAACUACUUCUAGAUUGGGAGGGGAACUGGAAUUCUCUCCUCCCUCGUAAAGUUUCGAGACCUUGAGCAGGUGUUGCAAAAUUUGUUAACAAACAUGGCAGAUAAAUGGAAGCAGACUGCUCUCUUGGUCAUUGACAUGCAGAAUGAUUUUAUCCUUGAGGAUGGGUUGAUGAGAGUCGAUGGAGGGAAAGCCAUUGUCCCAAAUGUGAUAAAGGCGGUUGAAAUCGCUAGGCAGCUUGGCAUUCUUGUAGUCUGGGUAACCUUCUUCUUCUGUUUUGUAUUGAUUUUCACACAACCAAUUCAGUUUUCUUUUUCUUAUAAGUUCUGUUUGUUCCUGGGUAAGCUAUAAUUCUUGGGAAUUUUUAGUUGCCAUAGAAAAAUGGAGGGUUUCUAUUGAGAAACUGCAUUCCAAGGCUUCUCCCAAUUUUAUCCAUUUUGAUAAUUGCCAUAGCCCAACUUCCUUGUGCUGUUUGUUUAGGCAAUAAUGUUGAGGAACUAUUGUAAAAAAUAGGAAAUUCAGAAAAUUUUGGGCCUACUUAUAAUUUGGUGGCUACUUUAUGUUAUGAUAGUAGGGGACCCUGCAGAGAAAAUUUUAGGGACUGUUCAGUUAGUGAUUUGGAGGACCCUUUUUGGGGGUCUUUGGAAGUUAACAUCUUCGUUGCCUGUUGUUUGUCUCAAAAAGGCAAGAAAACCGUCUGUGUGUUCACCUGAGACUAUUUCUUUUGCUUUGCUCUUCGUACACUUCGUUUAGUGCUCUGCUUGAUUUUGUAGAGCAGAUAAAUUUAAUCGCUUUAAUCUAUUAGAUGGAAAUAAGUUGAAAAACUCUAAUUCAUAUGUCUCUUAUUUAUGGAUGGUGAGUGUUAUGGGAGUUUGUGGGUUUAGGUUGUCCGCGAACAUGAUUCACUCGGAAGAGAUGUGGAACUUUUUCGCCGGCAUUUGUACUCUUUGGGGAAAGUGGGUCCUACCUGUAAGGGAAGCAAGGGUGCAGAACUGGUUGAUGGACUCGUGAUCAAAGAAGGGGAUUAUAAGGUGGUGAAGACACGCUUCAGUGCAUUUUUUAACACCCAUCUUCAUUCAUUCCUUCAGACUGAGGGAAUUAAGAGUUUGGUGAUAGUUGGUAAUUGCAAUUUCAGGAAUCAUGACCCAUCUAAAUAGAAUUAUUUAAUGAGGUAUUGUUGAUGUACAUGUGAUCGAGUUAUUCCUGCAUGUUUAGGUGUUCAAACUCCAAAUUGCAUCAGGCAGACUGUCUUUGAUGGGGUAGCACUGGAUUACCAAAAUGUUUCUGUUAUUUUUGAUGCCACAGCCGCUGCUACACCUGACGUGCAUGUUGGUAUGUAUUCUUAGAUUUGAAAUGAGUAAGUCUUGUUUUAAACAGAUGUUUAUACUUUCCCUUUUUUAGUUAAAACUUUAAAGAAUUUUUACUUACAUGCUCAUAAUAUAAUUGUCAUAUGUACAGGAGCAGAUUUAUGAUAUGCUAGAGAUUUAUUAAAUAAAGAAAGAUGGCGGGAAAAACUAUUACUUAAAGAUCUUUUAUUAGUUGCAUAACUUGUCCUCAUUUGAGGUGUUGGAAGGAAUGGGAAGAGAAUGAAUACUUUGUGGCUGAAGCAUCUUCAAACGAUUAGGCUAAAAUCUUGAAUUUAAAGAUGGUGCACAUGCAUUUGUGGUGUGAGAGGGAGAAUUUAAGUGUCUUUUCAAAUGCAUUCACAUUAUUAUCUAAGGUGUUUUGGUGAUGGAGUAAAUAUCUUGAAUUUUGUAUGAUAUUUGACAAGGGUUGGGAAGGAGUGCUGUAGCUCGUUUGUAGGAAUAACUUUGAUCUGUUAUAAUAGUAUGUGGAAUCAAGGAAGCCGAAGGCCUGAAGUGAAAUAGUAAAUUCUAUUGAGGAGAAAUUAAAUUGGCUGCUUUCCUCAGAUUUCUGGAUCUGCAUAUAAAUUUCUGAUACUCUCUAAAUGCCCACAUCAGAUUUCAAUGCACAGAGAAAACAUGAUAGACAAUUUUAGAAUGGGAAUAUUGUGGAAAGUAGAUGAAACAUGUUUAGCAAUGUGAAACAGAUGGAACAAUUGUUCCAUGAUAUAAUUUUAGAUAGUUAUAGUACAAGUAUUUUUUAUCCGACUUCAAAUGCUUCCAGAUGAGGUGAAACCUAAUUAAAAUCACAAUUUCAUAACACCAUCAACGUCUUACUGAGGAAAUAAGAUAUGCCUAAUUAUAAUUUUCACAGCAUUGCUUAUCUCUAAUCUCAGAAGAUAAAUAAAAACCUGAUUUCUCCAUGUCUUAUUCAACCUUUUGCACUCCCUCUUUGAAGACUAGAUGCAUCAGUAAAAAGCUUUGUAGUGUUUUUUCAUUCUGCAUACUUGGUAAAUUGGAUGUUCUUUUAAUUUGUUAUUGAUAUUUAUAAUCUUUGUACAUCAUGUGUUGAAAUUUUGGUUGGCUUAAAAAAUUGGCAUUCAUGACCAACCUGGAUUUCUAUUUCAAUGAAACAGCCAAUGUCUUUGACAUGAAAAAUAUUGGAGUUGAAAUCCCAACAUUACAGGAAUGGAGCGAGUCUGAUGCUUGAUCUACUUGACGACUAUACAAGGUUCAAGCUCUCUUGUGGCCCUUGUAUUUCAUUUUAUCUGAUGCAUGGGCAGCAUUGUGCUUGAACGGAUUAAUAUCAUAAUUAGUUGGUCAUUUUAUUACUGCAUAGUGCAUGCUUUUACAUUGCAGUCUAGCAGAGAAAACACAUGCAAUGUAAUAUUUGUUCUUCAACUUUUGUUUGUAUUAUUGAGUUGCUGCUGGACCGAGUAAUCAGUUUCAACAUUGUAUACUUUUGAAUUUGAUAUAAUAGGCAUCUUGCUAGUGAACUAUUCAGGUUCAUUGCAUGUUCUGAAUAAUGUUGAAAACUCUUUCAUUCUCGUUACAUGCUUAUCAAGAUAAUUAUUGAAUAUUGAAUGUGAACACCAUAGGCUUCAUAAGCAUUGUGAUGCUGUAUGGUUGGAUGUGGAACCAAACAAUUUGAUGAAUGAUGGAGCCUACUAAAACAUGAGGUGUUGUACUGUUUGGAAAUAUGUGAUUAGGAAGGGAAUUAGCAUCAUUGCCU